rnacentral:rRNA from 1 species
GAUGAACGCUGGCGGCGUGCUUAACACAUGCAAGUCGAACGGAAAGGCUCCUGCUUGCAGGGGUACUCGAGUGGCGAACGGGUGAGUAACACGUGGGUGAUCUGCCCUGCACUUCGGGAUAAGCCUGGGAAACUGGGUCUAAUACCGGAUAGGACGAUGGUUUGGAUGCCAUUGUGGAAAGUUUUUUCGGUGUGGGAUGAGCUCGCGGCCUAUCAGCUUGUUGGUGGGGUAAUGGCCUACCAAGGCGUCGACGGGUAGCCGGCCUGAGAGGGUGUACGGCCACAUUGGGACUGAGAUACGGCCCAGACUCCUACGGGAGGCAGCAGUGGGGAAUAUUGCACAAUGGGCGCAAGCCUGAUGCAGCGACGCCGCGUGGGGGAUGACGGCCUUCGGGUUGUAAACUCCUUUCGCUGGGGACGAAGCGCAAGUGACGGUACCUGGAGAAGAAGCACCGGCUAACUACGUG